rnacentral:misc_RNA from 1 species
GAUGAAGAACGUAGCGAACGUGCGAAACGUAAUGUGAAUUGCAGAAUUCAGUGAAUCAUCGAAUCUUUGAACGCAUCUUGCGCUCCUUGGUAUUCCGAGGAGCAUGCCUGUUUGAGUGUCGUGAAUACUCUCAACUUCAACCCUUUUUUCGGAAAGGGAGGAAGGUUGGACUUGGGUGUUUGUUGAAGUGCGAGCUUCGACUCAUCCUAAAUGCAUUAGCGAUCUGCCUCGAUCACACACAAUGUGAUAAUUAAAACUAAAGCAUUGUUUAAUGAUCAAGUCGAGACUGCUUCUAACUGUCGCAAGACAAUAACGUGCAUACAUUUGUGCAUGUCAUUUGAUCUCAAAUCAGGUAGGACUACCCGCUGAACUUAAGCAUAUCAAUAAGCGGAGGA